rnacentral:misc_RNA from 1 species
AACGCACCUUGCGCUCCUUGGUAUUCCGAGGAGCAUGCCUGUUCGAGUGUCAUGAAACUCUCAAACCGCAUCUUUAUUGAUGUCGGGCUUGGACUUGGACGUUGCUGGGCUGACGCUCGGCUCGUCUCAAAUGCAUUAGCUGACUCUCCCGACUUCAGUUUUCGGCGUGAUAAUCACAUCUACGUCGAUGCCGCGAGGCGCUGGACCGGGGAUCAAACGGCUUCUAACCGUCCCUCACAAGGACAAUUUUCAUCUCAUUUGGCCUCGAAUCAGGUAGGACUACCCGCUGAACUUAA